UAAAUAUCGAGUUCUUGAGAG
ensembl:piRNA 21ur-4288 ncRNA